rnacentral:siRNA from 1 species
GAAUGUGAACUCUCAGAGAAU